UUUCCGUAGGUGAACCUGCGGAAGGAUCAUUACUGAUUUUUGAAUGAAGUUGUUCUGGUCUUUCGGGGCAAGUGAACGCUUCUCUCAAUCCAUCUUACACCUGUGCACCUAUCGGAGAAGACUUGGAUCUAAGUUAGGUCACGACGGCGAUCUACAGUCUCCUCUUUAUACCAAAUAACAGUUUUAGAAAGUCUUUUUUGCUGGAGGCAAACUUAAAUAAAUACAACUUUCAGCAACGGAUCUCUUGGCUCUC
rnacentral:misc_RNA from 1 species